rnacentral:rRNA from 1 species
UACGAAGGGGGCUAGCGUUACUCGGAUUGACUGGGCGUAAAGGGCGCGUAGGCGGCGCGGAAAGUCGUCGGUGAAAGCUCGGGGCUCAACCCUGAGUCUGCCGGUGAUACUCCCGCGCUCGAGCUCACUAGAGGCAGAUGGAAUUCCGGGUGUAGCGGUGGAAUGCGUAGAGAUCCGGAAGAACACCGGUGGCGAAGGCGGUCUGCUGGGGUGAGGCUGACGCUGAUGCGCGACAGCGUGGGGAGCAAACAGG